UGUGAACUCCGUUAUUCCUUUCUUGAAAUGCAUCAACCAGAACUGCACAUUCUUUUCAAAGUACCUCCUUUCUGCUGGGCUGAGCUGCGUCAUUACCAGAGUCCCUGAGAAUGCUUAUUGUCCAUGGGAGUAAUUUCACAUCCUACCCAUUUAGCGAAAAGAUGUGAAAAUUGAUCUCCGGUUCUGCAGUGAGAUUGGAAUCAGAGCGCAGGCUACAAAUGCCUUGGAAGCUUGGCUCUCCAAGCCAG